UUAAAUUGAAGAGUUUGAUCAUGGCUCAGAUUGAACGCUGGCGGCAGGCCUAACACAUGCAAGUCGAGCGGAAACGAGUUAUCUGAACCUUCGGGGAAUGAUA
rnacentral:rRNA from 1 species